AACGAACGCUGGCGGCAGGCUUAACACAUGCAAGUCGAACGGAGCAGAUCCCUUCGGGGGUUUGCUUAGUGGCGAACGGGUGAGUAACGCGUGAGGAACCUCCCUUUCAGUGGGGGACAACAGUUGGAAACGACUGCUAAUACCGCAUAAUGCUUUUGAGCGGCAUCGCUUGAAAGCCAAAGAUUUAUCGCUGAAAGAUGGUCUCGCGUCUGAUUAGCUAGUUGGUGAGGUAACGGCUCACCAAGGCGACGAUCGGUAGCCGGACUGAGAGGUUGAUCGGCCACAUUGGGACUGAGACACGGCCCAG
rnacentral:rRNA from 1 species